UUGUUUAAAUGGUAUAUAUCAGUCCCAUGUUCUACACGUUUCUAAUCAUUCACUAUUUGUUCAGAGCGAGCUUAGGAGAAGGCCAUCAGAAUGAAUUCCACAGCUCUUGUCCUUCUCGUGGUGGUGUUUGUAAUGGCGGCAUUCGUGAUUGAAGAUGGCAAAGCGGAGUGCGCGGGCGGUGGAGAAAGAUGUGAUGGUAUAGACUGCUGCGAUCAAAAUUGCUACAUCUGUAGAUGUGGAACUCCUUGGGGAACGAAUUGCACAUGCACGAAAAGAACGUUUUCGUGCUGGGGCAGACGUUAAAGAUCGUUUGAAGGAACCAGCUCGAAUAGAUGUGACUAAAUACAAAAAUGACACUGAUAUGACUCGACGGGGAUACUUGUUUAUGUCAACAUGAUGACUUUAAGUCAAGCAUGCGAAAUUAUCAUUUACUACCAAUCAUACAUAUGUCUUUUGAACGGCGAAGGGCUUUCGAUAGGCUGUUGUCAGUAAAAGUUUUGAUCAUAAGUUGCAGGCUACUGCCUUUGCUAUUGUGUAGCCGAAUCGACAUCUAAGUAAUAAAAGUGCUCCCAACGAAAUGCAUUUCACCAAAUGUUAUUAGAAUAAUUAAUGAUGGCGGGUUGAUCUCGAUCGCAUCGGCUGUCAAUGGUCGACUUUUUGAAAUUUCAGCAAGGUUAAAUUAUUUAUGUCAAAUUCUAAACAUCAUUUCAUAAUAUUCUGACCAUCUGUGUAUAACACUGACAAGUACAAGAGUACAUUUUUUGUAUCAUCCCGGGACUAUAUCUAACCUAAUAAACAAGCAGCCUCGUUAA